rnacentral:rRNA from 1 species
GACGAACGCUGGCGGCGUGCUUAACACAUGCAAGUCGAACGGAAAGGCCCUGCUUUUGUGGGGUGCUCGAGUGGCGAACGGGUGAGUAACACGUGAGUAACCUGCCCUUGACUUUGGGAUAACUUCAGGAAACUGGGGCUACUACCGGAUAGGAGCUCCUGCUGCAUGGUGGGGGUUGGAAAGUUUCGGCGGUUGGGGAUGGACUCGCGGCUUAUCAGCUUGUUGGUGGGGUAGUGGCUUACCAAGGCUUUGACGGGUAGCCGGCCUGAGAGGGUGACCGGCCACAUUGGGACUGAGAUACGGCCCAGACUCCUACGGGAGGCAGCAGUGGGGAAUAUUGCACAAUGGGCGGAAGCCUGAUGCAGCAACGCCGCGGGCGGGAUGACGGCCUUCGGGUUGUAAACCGCUUUCGCCUGUGACGAAGCGUGAGUGACGGUAAUGGGUAAAGAAGCACCGGCUAACUACGUG